CCUACGGGUGGCAGCAGUCGAGAAUCAUUCACAAUGGGGGCAACCCUGAUGGUGCGACGCCGCGUGGGGGAAUGAAGGUCUUCGGAUUGUAAACCCCUGUUAUGUGGGAGCAAAUUCAAAAGAUAGUACCACAAGAGGAAGAGACGGCUAACUAUGUGCCAGCAGCCGCGGUAAUACAGAGGUCUCAAGCGUUGUUCGGAAUCACUGGGCGUAAAGCGUGCGUAGGCUGUUUCGUAAGUCGUGUGUGAAAGGCGCGGGCUCAACCCGCGGACGGCACAUGAUACUGCGAGACUAGAGUAGUGGAGGGGGAACCGGAAUGCUCGGUGUAGCAGUGAAAUGCGUAGAUAUCGAGAGGAACACUCGUUGCGAAGGCGGGUUCCUGGACAUUAACUGACGCUGAGGCACGAAGGCCAGGGGAGCGAAAGGGAUUAGAUACCCUUGUAGUC
rnacentral:rRNA from 1 species